rnacentral:rRNA from 1 species
AAGUCGAGCGAACAGACGAGGAGCUUGCUCCUCUGACGUUAGCGGCGGACGGGUGAGUAACACGUGGAUAACCUACCUAUAAGACUGGGAUAACUUCGGGAAACCGGAGCUAAUACCGGAUAAUAUAUUGAACCGCAUGGUUCAAUAGUGAAAGACGGUUUUGCUGUCACUUAUAGAUGGAUCCGCGCCGCAUUAGCUAGUUGGUAAGGUAACGGCUUACCAAGGCAACGAUGCGUAGCCGACCUGAGAGGGUGAUCGGCCACACUGGAACUGAGACACGGUCCAGACUCCUACGGGAGGCAGCAGUAGGGAAUCUUCCGCAAUGGGCGAAAGCCUGACGGAGCAACGCCGCGUGAAUGAUGAAGGUCUUCGGAUCGUAAAACUCUGUUAUUAGGGAAGAACAAAUGUGUAAGUAACUAUGCACGUCUUGACGGUACCUAAUCAGAAAGCCACGGCUAACUACGUGCCAGCAGCCGCGGUAAUACGUAGGUGGCAAGCGUUAUCCGGAAUUAUUGGGCGUAAAGCGCGCGUAGGCGGUUUUUUAAGUCUGAUGUGAAAGCCCACGGCUCAACCGUGGAGGGUCAUUGGAAACUGGAAAACUUGAGUGCAGAAGAGGAAAGUGGAAUUCCAUGUGUAGCGGUGAAAUGCGCAGAGAUAUGGAGGAACACCAGUGGCGAAGGCGACUUUCUGGUCUGUAACUGACGCUGAUGUGCGAAAGCGUG